GACCCCUGGCAAUGGACAAAGAAAUGCCUCGUUGGUGGUGUUGCCUUUAUAUCCGUCAGAGGCAAAGCAAAUGAUCCUUUGUUCAUCCCAGCUUGAUGUUUGGGUUGAUGACCAGAGCUAUUUCAUGCUUGGGGCACAUAA